UACGUAGGAGGCAAGCGUUGUCCGGAAUUACUGGGCGUAAAGCGCGUGUAGGUGGGAGGCCAAGUCUGUGGUGAAAUCGCCCGGCUCAACUGGGCGCAGUCCAUGGAAACUGGUCACCUGGAGGACGGUAGAGGCGAGUGGAAUUCCCGGUGUAGUGGUGAAAUGCGUAGAGAUCGGGAGGAACACCAGUGGCGAAGGCGGCUCGCUGGGCCGGUCCUGACACUGAGACGCGAAGGCGUGGGGAGCGAACGGG
rnacentral:rRNA from 1 species